rnacentral:rRNA from 1 species
UGUAUAAUGGGUCAGCGACUUAUAUUCUGUAGCAAGGUUAACCGAAUAGGGGAGCCGAAGGGAAACCGAGUCUUAACUGGGCGUUAAGUUGCAGGGUAUAGACCCGAAACCCGGUGAUCUAGCCAUGGGCAGGUUGAAGGUUGGGUAACACUAACUGGAGGACCGAACCGACUAAUGUUGAAAAAUUAGCGGAUGACUUGUGGCUGGGGGUGAAAGGCCAAUCAAACCGGGAGAUAGCUGGUUCUCCCCGAAAGCUAUUUAGGUAGCGCCUCGUGAAUUCAUCUCCGGGGGUAGAGCACUGUUUCGGCAAGGGGGUCAUCCCGACUUACCAACCCGAUGCAAACUGCGAAUACCGGAGAAUGUUAUCACGGGAGACACACGGCGGGUGCUAACGUCCGUCGUGAAGAGGGAAACAACCCAGACCGCCAGCUAAGGUCCCAAAGUCAUGGUUAAGUGGGAAACGAUGUGGGAAGGCCCAGACAGCCAGGAUGUUGGCUUAGAAGCAGCCAUCAUUUAAAGAAAGCGUAAUAGCUCACUGGUCGAGUCGGCCUGCGCGGAAGAUGUAACGGGGCUAAACCAUGCACCGAAGCUGCGGCAGCGACGCUUAUGCGUUGUUGGGUAGGGGAGCGUUCUGUAAGCCUGCGAAGGUGUGCUGUGAGGCAUGCUGGAGGUAUCAGAAGUGCGAAUGCUGACAUAAGUAACGAUAAAGCGGGUGAAAAGCCCGCUCGCCGGAAGACCAAGGGUUCCUGUCCAACGUUAAUCGGGGCAGGGUGAGUCGACCCCUAAGGCGAGGCCGAAAGGCGUAGUCGAUGGGAAACAGGUUAAUAUUCCUGUACUUGGUGUUACUGCGAAGGGGGG